CAGCAGCAGAGAGGGGGAGAGAGAGAGAGAAAGGGAGAGAGCGAGAGAAAGAAAAGAGAUGUAGGAGAGAGACAAAGGCAACUUCUCGACGAGCCGUUUCCUGCAAGCCAUGUGCACAGAGUGUCGCACAGCGGAAUGUGUCUGCUACUCCCGACUCAGCGCAUGCAUGGACAGCGGCGCUGGUGCGCAAGGCUAAAAGGAAGAACGUGGCUCUGCAGUUGACUCAGACAAAAGGGCCAGUUUUGCAUUCCUUCAGGAGGAGACAGUGCGUGCGGAAGAGAAGAGAAGAAAAGAGAAGACCUUGACGCGUCUCGCCUCAUCUUCUUCCCAUCUGAUUGAGUUCUCCUCUGAAAGGUAAAGACGGUCAUCAUUUCUCUUUCUGUGUAGCAACAGUGUGAUGGUGUGAUUGCUAUAUAUUGUGUCCUCUACUCUCUGGGGAUGCGCCUACAGGUGAUAGUGGAGAAAAGGGAGGAAAAAGAGAUAGGAAGUGGGGAGCGAAA